GACGAACGCUGGCGGCGUGCUUAACACAUGCAAGUCGAACGGAAAGGCCUGUCCUUCCUUGUGUUGGACGGGUACUCGAGUGGCGAACGGGUGAGUAACACGUGAGUGAUCUGCCCCCAACUUGGGUAUAAGCCUGGGAAACUGGGUUUAAUCCCCGAUAGGACUGCAGGGUGGUGCCUGUGGUGGAACACGAUUCUCUUGUGGUUGGGGAUGAGCUCGCGGCCUUUGAGCUUGUUGGUGGGGUAAAGGCCUACCAAGGCGGCGACGGGUAGCCGGCCUGAGAGGGUGGACGGCCACAUUGGGACUGGGAUACGGCCCAGACUCCUACGGGAGGCAGGAGUGGGGAAUAUAGGACAAUGGGCGGAAGCCUGAUGCAGCGACGCCGCGUGGGAGAUGACGGCCUUCGGGUUGUAAACUCCUUUCGACCGAGAGGAAGCCGCCUGGUUGGAAGGGUGGUGACGGUAGUGGUAGAAGAAGCACCGGCUAACUACGUG
rnacentral:rRNA from 1 species